rnacentral:rRNA from 1 species
AGCGUGCACGGUGGAUGCCUUGGCAUCUGGAGGCGAUGAAAGACGUAGUAGCCUGCGAUAAGCUUCGGUGAGGUGGCAAACAACCUUUGACCCGGAGAUCUCUGAAUGGGGAAACCCACCUAGGGUAACCUAGGUAUCUUUAACUGAAUUCAUAGGUUAAAGAGGCGAACGCGGAGAACUGAAACAUCUAAGUACCCGCAGGAAAAGAAAUCAACCGAGAUUCCCUAAGUAGUGGCGAGCGAACGGGGACCAGCCCUUAAGCUGUUUUGUAGUUAAUAGAAUGGUCUGGAAAGGCCAACCGUAGAGGGUGAAAGUCCCGUAUAUGAAAACUUAUAAGCAGUGAAAACGAGUAGGACGGGACACGUGGUAUCCUGUUUGAAGAUGGGGGGACCAUCCUCCAAGGCUAAAUACUACCAGAUGACCGAUAGUGAACCAGUACCGUGAGG